UUCUGACUUGGUUUGCAGAUGUUUUCAGAGUACCAUAGUAGCCAGCUUAAUUUGUCUCCACGCAAUGGGAAGCAGGCUUGAGCUAUCACUGAAAAGGUGACAGGAGUUUACUCAAGACUCUCUGAUUUUAGCUGUUUCCUAGGACU